GACGAACGCUGGCGGCGCGCCUAAUACAUGCAAGUCGAGGGAGAACCGAGCCUUCGGGCUCGGGGAGACCGGCGAACGGGUGAGUAACACGUGAGGAACCUGCCCCUGUAGACCGGAAUAACCACGGGAAACUGUGGCUAAUGCCGGAUAUUCUCAGGCCUUUCGCAUGAGGGCACGAGGAAAUGGUCCGCCGCUACAGGAUAGCCUCGCGGCCUAUCAGCUUGUUGGUGAGGUAACGGCUCACCAAGGCGA
rnacentral:rRNA from 1 species